UGGGGAAUUUUGGACAAUGGGGGCAACCCUGAUCCAGCAAUGCCGCGUGAGUGAAGAAGGCCUUCGGGUUGUAAAGCUCCUUUGUCCGGGAAGAAAUCCUCUUGGUUAAUACCUGGGAGGGAUGACGGUACUGGAAGAAUAAGCACCGGCUAACUACGUGCCAGCAGCCGCGGUAAUACGUAGGGUGCAAGCGUUAAUCGGAAUUACUGGGCGUAAAGCGUGCGCAGGCGGUUGUGCAAGACCGAUGUGAAAUCCCCGGGCUUAACCUGGGAACUGCAUUGGUAACUGCACGGCUAGAGUGUGUCAGAGGGGGGUAGAAUUCCACGUGUAGCAGUGAAAUGCGUAGAGAUGUGGAGGAAUACCGAUGGCGAAGGCAGCCCCCUGGGAUAACACUGACGCUCAUGCACGAAAGCGUGGGGAGCAAACAGGAUUAGAUACCCUGGUAGUCCACGCCCUAAACGAUGUCAACUAGUUGUCGGGUCUUAAUUGACUUGGUAACGCAGCUAACGCGUGAAGUUGACCGCCUGGGGAGUACGGUCGCAAGAUUCAAAACUCAAAGGAAUUGACGGGGGUCAUAGCUGUUUCCUG
rnacentral:rRNA from 1 species